rnacentral:rRNA from 1 species
AUUGAACGCUGACGGCAGGCCUAACACAUGCAAGUCGAACGCGUGGCGGACGGGUGAGUAAUGUCUGGGAAACUGCCUGCUGGAGGGGGAUAACUACUGGAAACGGUAGCUAAUACCGCAUACCAUCAGAUGUGCCCAGAUGGGAUUAGCUCGGUGGUGGGGUAACGGCUCACCAGGGAGACGAUCCCUAGCUGGUCUGAGAGGAUGACCAGCCACACUGGAAAUGAGACACGGUCCAGACUCCGACGGGAGGCAGCAGUGGGGAAUAUUGCACAAGGGGCGCAAGCCUGAUGCAGCCAUGCCGCGUGUAUGAAGAAGGCCUUCGGGUUGUAAAGUACGUUCAGCGGGGAGGCGUUACCCGCAGAAGAAGCACCGGCUAACUCCGUGCCAGAAGCCGCGGUAAUAC